UGGUAAUCCAACAUUAGGAGUAACGUGCACCGCACACUGACAUCACCAGGUCUUUUCACCUGGAAGCCAUCAGUCUCCUGAGUUGUGGGAGUUCUGUGCCACUCCACAAGAUGGUUGUCAGGUCCAUAAAGAUCUUUAUCCAGUUCAAUGACUAAACUCUUAAAAAAGGAUGAAAACUUUCGUUUCUGUUUGCUGAGGUCAUCCAGGAGCUUCCCCUCCACACGAAGCUCCCAUGAUGCGAUGCUGCCGUCAGAGUCAUCAGCGUCAGAUUUUGCAGGAUUAAAUGUGUUGGAGAUAUAAAGUCUCAGCUUCCGCUUUUGCUUCAUUGGCCUCUUCAGUGCUUCCUGAAUAUCCACGCGCUUCCGCAUAAUGGUCUGGUCUAGUUUGCGUUCAAAAGCCAGCAGAUCCAUGUAGGCCUGGGACUCAGGAACCAACUCCCGGAUCCUCUGAGGGAGAAUUUUGUCAGCCAUCUUCCUCCUCUUGGCACUCCUAGUUCGGUUCUGAGUAGCUUGCUGCUGCUGCUGCACUUGCUGCUGCACCUGCUGUUGUUGGACCUGCUGUGGUGCAGUGCGUUUUCUUGUUGUUUCCAUCACAGUCUGGGGCAUCCCAGGUCUCACCGAGGGGCUUCCAACAUAUGGAGGGCCUGGGGGACCCAUGGGAGCCCCCUGGUGGGGCAUUCGAGCUCCUGAUGGCAUCCCAGGUCGCACCCCAUGGACCAGAAACUCAAAAAGUUUGCUUUUCGUAGCUUUGCGAGCCCCUCCUGUAACUUCGUCUGUAGCCAUCGGGGUCUGCUCAGCCUCUCUCACUCUCUCUCUUCCUCUUUCUUUCCCUUUUCUGCCUUUUUCUCCAACUCUCCCCUCUGAGUCCUGCUGGGCUCUCACACUUCUAAUAGCGCGGAGUGGGGAGGGGGCCCCUUCAGGGCCUUCCUGACGGCCCACUCGCGCUCGGCCUCAGCUGCUGCAUUCCUCCACUGAUAAGCCAGAAAUAGUUUGCGCUGCCGGGCUGUGCGUGUUUACUCUGCGGGGACAGAAAAUCCCGCUUUUUAAACCUCUCUGUCCAAACACCCGAGAUAAGCGGGAGGCAAAUCGAAAACACGUCCCGGCCCCUCGCGGCAGAGCUGCAGCCGCUCCUCCUGGGCGCAGGGGAUGGUAAAUUCUGGGGCAAGGGGGAGGGGGCGGCCUCGGCAGCGGCACCAGCCCGGCUCCCGGGGAGUUUUCCCAUCAGAACAUGCAGCGGGCGGGCGGUGAGAAACAAUGGCUCCCCCCGUUCGCAGCGCUCCGCCCGCGCCGCGCUCCAGGCCCCGUCCCCGGGGACCGCCGGCAGCGCGCAAACGUUCGCUGGCGGCGGUUCCAGCGCGAGGCUGAGAACGGUCCCUCCGGCGAUAGAGGCUGCGGGAGGCGGAGGGCCAGGAGCGGGCAGGGAGAGCGCGGGGGCGAAGGGAUGGCGGGCGUGCGAGGAGCGGGGGCGGCGGGCAGCAUGGCGGCGGCGGCCCCGCCCGAGGCGAUCUGGCCCCACUCUGACGGAUCCGUUAGCGGCACGCGUGAUUGACGGCCGCAGUCCCUGCGAUCACCGCAGCUGCGGUCAGGCAGCCGCAGCUCCUCGCUCAGAGCCCCGCGCAGCACCCCGAGACCCCGCGGGCCCGUCCGGGGGGGGAAGGGGCCUCUCCGGCGCUCCAGAUCUCGGCGGCCCCUCCGUGAUGGAGGGCGGCAGUAACCUCUCCGCGAUGCGGAGUGGCAGUGCCACCUCCCGUGACGGCACAGCAGCGUGGCCAGGGGGGCUCUGCUCGCCACGGUGUGCGCGGCUGGCGGGGGCUGUUGUCUGCCGUCCGCCUGAUACAGUGAUAGCGAUGCCGCCAAGCUACGGGAGGGGUUUGUUCUGUUCCUCUCCUUGAGAUUCUUGUCUAUGGACUCUGUAUUUUCUGGCAAAGCUGCAAACAGAAGGGAAUCAGAACUGAACUGAAUAAAAUCGCUGCCCUCACCCAGUGGUUAAAAACAAGCACGGGAAAGACACUGAAUCGGCCAGCAGUGAAGAACGGACCGUGGAGAUCACACGGCAUGGUGCGCGCAGGGACUCGGGAACAGCCGCUGCUGAUGUUCAAGGUGACCCCAACCCAGGCAGCGCCGUGCGGGAUGCCACAGGAAUUGCAGCGCUUGGGCGUGUGGGUGCUGCUAUCGACGCCCUCCCCCUUCCGCUCGGUCAGACACACCCAGCGCAGCAGCACAGCCUCGUUCGGGGCAUGGACCAAACUGCUGCUGCGGCUGCGGCCAACCCGAGCCGGCUGCACGUGCGGUCUGGAACCGAGCUGCUGUGUGUCAGCAUGGCGGCGCUGCCCCGUGCAGCGAGGCUCAGGUCCCAGAAGCACGCGGUGACAUCGGCUCCCAUCUUGCGAUCCCUUUUGUGCCCCCAGCAGACGACGUGUCUUCUCUCUGCAGACUGCGCUGCGCAGGGCGCACCGCUUCCCCCGCAGCAGCGCUGCUGACACAAAGCCGCAUCCGCCGCUAUUCCCACUGCUAAAGGGAGCCGCGUCCCCGCCCUCGUUCUACCGAACGGCACCGAACGCGGUGCUCGAGCACAGCGCGGCUCCCUGGGGAAGGCUCUGGGCAAACAGCUUCGGAGCCGCUGCGCCGACCGCAAAGGGCACAGUGGUCACCGGACGGGGCCCGCCGCCGCCCUCGGCCCCGGAGCCCGCGGCCUCCUCAGGUCGGGCCCGGCACUCAGGGCGCGGCUCUGGUGCGGCGCGGCGCGCGGUCCCCCCUCGAGUCCCCCCGCGCUCCUCCGCCAGCACCGUCGGCACCGAAUGGCCACGGCGCGCCCGGCACGGGCAGGGCGUGCGCCAGCCGCGAGCCCGGAUGGGCGGCGGGCCGGGUUCGGGCCGAGCCCCCCCCCCCAAGUCCGCGCCGAACCCAAGCGGGCCGCGGCCGGGCAGAUCGCGGCUCCUGGGAGCCCCAGCCGACGGUGCGCAUGCCCGACGCGGCUCCGUGAAGGUCAGCCGCGGCCUCGCGGGGACGCGCGGGCGGGGGCGGCCGGGCCGCGGUAGGGAACGGCCUUAACCCUUUCCGCGCCGCGUCCGCGUCGAGCGGCGCCCCGGGAUGCGACCGCCGUGCGGGGAGAGCUGAGGAGCCGCGGGGCGGCGUGGUUGGGGCACGCGCCCAUCGGAGCCGUCGCGAUGACGGCCGCAGCGCCCCGCGGUCUGUUUCCAUCACCGCCGGCGCUGUACGAUGGGUGGCGGGGAGGCUGCUGCACCACGGCAGGCUUCAGGGUGGGGUUUUGUUCGUGUUUUUGACCCGCUGCAGAUUAAGCGACGCGAGCAGCUGCUCCUGGCUCGGCCUGCAGCCGGCUACAUCCUGCAGCACCAGGACGGGGCGGGAAGCGUUACUGGAUUGCAAGUGAAUGCAACAGAGUAAGUAUUGUCCUCUGUCUGGAUGUUCUUAGCAGCUCUAUAACGAGAGUUACAAAGAACAUCGCAUAAGCAGGUCGGCCACCUGAAAAUAAGGGAGCUGCAGACACUUAAUGAGACUUCAGUGACGACUGUUAUGUACCGAUAACACUCAGCCCUUACUCAGUACAAUUGUAGCUCACAAAGUCCUAUAGGAAAUGCACUUACACAACAAAUAGAUGAAGGUUACAGUGCAAGCGUGUCUUCUCUCCAGAGAAAAACCAUACAAUUUUAUUUGAAAUUCAUUUUUUUCCUAUUUCCCCCAUGUAUUUUCUUUCAAAAGUGUAGAAAAUAAACGUUAUUUGCUGCUGCUGUUUUUAAGAGCUGCCUGGCUCAACCCAUCUCUCUCUCUUCCCCAGCUGCCCUGCGGCUCCCUGCCACGUCUGGCCCUGAUGGCAGCGGCCGGCAGACCCUGCAGUACUUGUGUUCCUUCACCUCUUCUCAUCCCUCCAUUGCUCCCUUCAGCCCCACUUUGUGCUAUGUCCUUAACUCACUUUACUCAGGUUUCAGGGAGAGCUGACAUUUGUCCUCCUUAUCUGGGCUGUCGGAGGCCAUCUUUUCUCCCACAGAUUUGCUUGGUUUGUUUUUACUUCUUUGCUAUUUUAAACUAUGCUGGUCAGGCUAAAAAAGCAGAAACACAAGUUGUGGGAGGGGAGGAAUAUGUUUGCAGCUGCAUUCGAUUUUUCAAUUAAUAGUAGUUAAAGAAAUACAUCAAGGUUGCUCUAAAAGGGCCUGGUUUCUCUCAUCCGAUUUUCACUUAGGCCAGCAGGGCUCAGAAACGUAAAGCAGAGACUCACAGAACAUCCAGAGUUGGAAGGGACCCACGGGGGUCACUGAGUCCAACCCCCAGCUCAAAACAGAACCGCACACACAUCAGGCCGUGUCUGAGAGCGCCGUCCAGAGGCUUCUUGAGGUCCGGCAGCUCAGGGCUGUGCCUGCCAGACACCCUAUGCCCACCACCCUCCGGGCAUAGCCUUUCCCUCACCCCCACCCAACCCUCCCAUGACAGCUCCAUGCUCUUCCGUCAGGCGCUGUUGCUGUCAGCAUUGAGCAGAACUCAGCACUGCCCGUUUGCUCCCUGUGAGGAGCUGCAGGGCCAUGAGGGGCUGUAGGCCCACCAUGAAGAGCUGCAGGCCACUGUGAGGGAGCUGUGGACCAUCCUGAGGAGCUGCAAGAUGCUGUGAGGCCUAUCCUCAGUCUCCUCUGGACUGAACAAACCAAAGGAUUUCAGCUGCUCUUCUCACAUGUUCCUCUCUGGACCCCUCCCCAUCUUCAUAGCCUUCCUUUGGACACUCUAACAGUUUGAUGUCCUUUUUGUACUGUGAUGCCCAAAACAAUACACAGCACUCAGUGUGAGGCCGCACCAAUGCCUUGUAAAGCAGGAUGGUCAUUUCCCUCAGCUGGCCAGCAGGGCUGUGCUUGAUGCACCCCAGGGCACAGUUGGUCUUCCUGGCUACCUGGGCACACUGUUGGCUCACGUUCAAUUUGCUGUCAAUCGAGACCCCCAAAUCUCCUUCAGUGGGGCUCCUACCCAGCACCUCAUCUCCGGUAUUCCCAACAGUUUUGGAAUUUAUGCAGUAUUGCAUAAGAACCAAACAGAGACAGAAAAUAUCCUGAGAUGGAGGUUCCGCAUAUUCUAAAGAAAUGGUAACCUGUUCCUGAGUUCAGAAUUAUUCAGUAUUCUCAUGAACAAUACAGAUAAUGAACUAGAGAGCAUGCUGAUUAAAUACGGUUUGCAGUGGUCGCAGGUAUGUUGUGAGAGUCAUAACUGAAAUCCCAAAAAGCUGGGGAUGUAGUUUGAAAGAGCAGGACAUAAUGCAACCAGAAAGAGCACAGGCUUUCAGACCGAGCCGUGGAUCAACAACUGCAUAAAGAGACAAAGGAGAAAACUGAUGGUGGUAUUUUGGUUGGGUUUUUUGUUUGGUUUUUGCUUCUUUUUUCAGAAAAAAAUAUAUUUAGUGAUACAACCUCAUAAGGUGAAUGAGAAUUAAUAGGACUAUGCUUACACCAGGUAAACACACACACACAAAACCAGGUGAGCAUUAACAAUGAGUGCUGCCCCACUGCUCUCAUCCCCUUGGUGGCAGCAAAAGCAGUGACAAUGGCACUCCAGAUUCUUAUCUGUCUCCACUUUUUGUGUACGCUUUCUACCCAUCCCUUCUCUGUGAGGCACCAACUGUCCCAGCUCAAGAUCUCCCUGAGGCUGCAAAAUUAACUUUUGUAAAUACUGGUAAGGAACCCUUCCAAAGUAAUCCUUCUGCUGUGUUAUGCACUGUUAGCAUCUCAGCAAAACUAUGCAGUUCGGGGCUCUGUGUGAAAGAAAAUGUGUGUGGGAGAAAUGAAGAUGGUUCAAGGAAAACAUAAUUGUGAUAAGAACUGUAAAGCCUAAAGAGGGAAAGAGAAAAUAACUGCCACAAGGCUGCUGCAAAUAUGGAGAAGAGCUACUCUGCUCUUCUGAAAUUUAAAUUUCUCCCGGAAGAUUCAGAUAUUAAAGAAGAGUACAGCAGUAAAAGCAGAAAUGUUCUGGGAUACUUUUCCCAUCAGGGAUGGAUUCAAACUCAAAGACGGAAGAUUUAGAUUGUAUACAAAGAAAAGAUCUAUUACAGUGAGGGUGGUGAGGUACUGGAACAGGUUGCCCAGAGAUGUGGUUGAUGCCCCAUCCCUAGAGACUUUCAGGCCAAGGCUGGAUCAGGCCCUGGGCAACCUGAUAUAGCUGUGGUGUCCCUGUGCAGCGCAGGGGAGUUGGACCAGAUAGCCUUCAGAGGUCACUCCCAACUCUAAAGAUCCUGUGAUUCCAUGACCUCCAAAACUGAAGGUCUUUAGGAAGAUGUCAGAUAAGCAUCUGCUUUGAGUGAUGCAGCUGGUGUUGAUUCUGACAUGGAGCAGGACAGGUGAUGAGCUGAUUCCUAGUGGUUUCUUUUGCCCUAUUUGCCUCCAUAAACUGCAUGGAAUUUUGUGAGACAAAGAUAUGACUUUCUCCACCCAGAGUGGUUCCCCUUGACCAGCUUCACAGAUCUGCUUCAAAACAAGUGUAAGGUGAUCAAAAAGGCUCGCUUAAAGUUUUGAUUUUAGAAAAAGAGUAAGUAUUUGACUGCUGCCAGUUCCCCUUGAAAGUUACCAGGUACCAUACAGCCUUUAUACUGUGGCCCUUCACAUUUUCCUUGACCUUCAACUACCAUUCUAUAUAACCCUAUAUAGACAUAUCACUUCAUGUUAGACCUUUCCAUUGGGUUUCCAAAUCUGUUUGCAAUGAAGAAAUCCUAUGAGCAAUUUGUAGCAAGCAUAAAGAAAAAAAGGUUUGAAAUAGAGGCAAUGAAGAAUAAGUAAAGGCAAAGAAAAAUGUCUGUCUUUCUCCAGAGUUUCCAAACAUAACUGCAGAGGUAAGGAGAUAAUUAAAAACACAUGUCCUGAUUAUCUUACAAGUAAUCACAGACAACAGCAGGGAUGCCAAAAGGUGGAGAAAAAGAUCCAUAAUACUUUAAGAUCUACAUCUACUGCCCCCUAGACCAAAAGAAGGCGGGUAUUUUAUGGUACUUAAUUAGAGUGAUGGGUUGGGGUGUUUGGUAGCAGCACCAUGAAGGAUUCACUCACAAUCACAAAUGGACUGAACACAGAGGAGGGAAUUGCUGGGCCAGUAAGGCUGGUGCUGUAUAAUCAACAGCAGCCAUGUCACAGACAUACAUUUACUGCAUUGCCCUUUAAGCCUUGGCCUUAUUGAACAGCUGCUAAAAAUAGAAGAAAAAAAAAGUUAUCUGAAUGACUUUUUUUUUUUAAGUCUGUCUGGCUCUUUGUCAUUUGUUUUCAUCAACUUUGCCCUUCUUUAAGUCUAACAUUUCUGGUCUGGGGCAUUUACAGACAGCAGUCACAACCCGCACUAAGUCACCCUUUGCCAGGCUAAACAAGUGAGACCCAUACUUGGUCUCUUCAAACAGAAAUGCCCAUUUCUAUCAUUUCAUCAAGUUUUCUUAAAUAACUCCUGGUUAAUCUACCUAGAACAUGGGUAAGCAGGACCGUACCUGUAUUCUCAAAGGCCAUGUAACAGUAUAGCAUUGACACUUCUCUUACCAGCAGAACCCUCAAUGAAAUUUUCCAAGAUUCACAACCACUUUCCACAGUGUUACGACAGUGACAACUCCAAGUUCUGCUGCAGUACAGUUGCAGCAAUACACAGGGCUGUUUGUCGCACUGCCACUAGGUAAGCCUUCAGCUCACAGUGCUGACUCCUAUUACCAGCCCUUGAGAGCACAGCUGUGAGCUGCACUGUCAUCAGAGACUGAUUUCUACUUGUUGGUCUUCAGAAUCACUCAGUUCGGCACGAUAACUUACUCUCUUGCUUCAACAAUCCCUGCAUAAUUUGCAUCAUCAACACUUUUCAUUUCUGUGCUUCCUGUCAUUUGUGCCAUGGGCUUUAGUGAAAAAAUAUUAAAUGGCAUUAAUCCCAAGAUAAUUCCUGAAAAAAUGCAAGGCCUGUUGCUUCAUUUUCCUUACCUGCCUUGCCAUUCUUCUAUCAUUACCUGUCCUGAAUCUCAACUACAUUUUCAGAUAGCGCUGUCUCAGAGGCUUCACUGAAGUCCAGUUAAAUAAGACACACAAUUAUUCCUUUUUGUUGAAAAUUAGCCAGAAAUCCAUUAAAUUAGUAAACUUACACAGCUCUUUUAUCCCAUUUACCAUUUAUGUCCUCCUCAUGCUUAGUUAUUUUAUUUUCCCUUCAGCCACACAUAGGCUUAGGAUUACAGCAGUGCAACUGCCUGCAGUGUUUUUGCCCAUCUGUAAUAUAGAGAAACGAACUGGAUUUCCUCUUUCUUUAUUAGGAAAAAAUCUUUUUUGAAAGCCCCUUUUGGUUAAUAAUGCCAUGUUUAUAUCCUGGUUUCAAUGAAAAUCAUUUGAAAAAAAUCUAUAGUUUGAGUAAAUCAAUAAUGAGUAAAUAGUUACUGAGGGCUGCAUUCAUAUACAAAAACAUGUGAGACGUGACAACUCACAAAGCACAGAGAGGCUGCAGAAGGCACAUAACCAAAGAAGGAGAACAGAGCAAUCUUGGCAUACAGUAAUAAAUUCACCUCUCACUUCAGCUACACUAGCAGAACAGUUAUUAGGUGAACAAAAUCACAACAGUCUGGGAGCACAAUGGAGCUGAAGGUGAUAAGUAAUAAUGGUAAUUAUUAAAGAAAAACCCAAAAAACAACCAGCAACGAUAUUGCUAAACAAGCCCAAGUGACUUUUUAAAUCAUUUUAUUUGGCAAAAUAAUCACAAAGUUAUGAAAAGAUGACCCCUGAGAAAAGGAAAUUUUCAUCUCAGGCAGUGCAUUAUUACAGCAAACAUCGACAGCUUUGAGAAAUGGCAGCCAGAAGUAAAAUGGCAAAAGCAACUUGAAUGUAAUGCAGGGAAACAUGUCUGAAAUUCUGACUGUGAACACCCAAUGUCCAACAAAACAAACAGCAAGUAAAAGGUUGUAAACAAAAUGUCACAAGGAUGACGAGUGGUGGAAGACAAGGAGCUGCCAGCAGGUCUGGGGAUGGCUGGGCUGUUCUAGGCAGGUUUUUGUCUGUUUGCUGGUUUCUUUCUUUCUUUCAUUUUUUUACCAUCUUCAGAGAUGUACAUGAGAAGACGCGGGGAAAGUUUCACAGUCGUUUGGGUCGAAAGACAAAAAAAAAAUCAAAUGGGCAUUAAAGUAUCAGGAGAUUUUGGCUGGAAAAACACAAGGCAGCAGUGGAAGGUCAGUCCUGAAGGAGCUGUGAUACGCCUAUAGCAGCAGGUAGGACAUUUUCCAAGCCUUCCAGCUUUUCAUUCUCCUGGUAUAUAAAUACACAUGAAAUCAGGAGUACGGAAAUGCCAGGCACAGCUGCUUAUGGCACAGUGACAUGAUUACAGUGCUAAGGCUGUGGCUGGACUAUGUGCUUUCAGCUGAGCCUUUUUUUUGAGCAACCCAAUGCUGCAAAAGCAGUAAACCACUGGCUGCAGCGCUGGGCAGUGGUUUCCCUCCUUGUCUCUCCCACCAUAUAAUAGGCACAGCAGGUUGGCAGGCUACAGCUCACAGCAACAAACUCCACUUGGCAACGAGAUCAUUAAGCCAUAUAGUAACAUGCUGCCUAUGCUCCCAGGAGGACAGGGCACGUAAAUGGUAGCACAGGUUAGUUGUAGUAGACCUCAAAAAUGCUGGGGUUGGAAGAAGCAUUAGUGGAAUCCUUCUGGUGUGCAGUGCUUUGCAAAAUAAAUAAUUUACAUUGCUUACACUAACAAUUAGCUGG
rnacentral:lncRNA from 1 species